CCGGCAGCGCCGGGCAGUCGGUUACCGAGGGGGCCCGGCUGCGCGGCUCCCUCCAGCCGCGAGUCGGAGGAGACAUUUCCCCGCAAGCGCCGUGCAGCGGCGGUCGGGCGGCGCAGAGCAGGAUUUACGCCCACCCGGGUCUGGUGACGCCAGGCAGGCCUGGGUCGGAGAGCAGCGGAGCUCCGAGAUACAACGAGACGGGCCAUUCGCCCCAGCUCCGCCCGCCCCAUUAGCACGUCGGGGCCGCGGCAAUGAAGCGGGCUGGAAGCAGCCAAGGAGGAGGUCUCUGCUCCUGUCUCCAGCCUUCCCUUGUUCAGGAGGACCUCCAGCGCGAACCGCGUGUGAGCAGGGUCCAGCGAAGCACCAGGAUGGGAUGAUCUUGACUUGCCCUGGUUCUCUGUGGCAAGGAAAUAAAAGCGCCCCGCUUCUCCUAGCCUCUGUCUGCAAUUCACAGAGGGGCUUUUAGCUCUA